UGUUCAAGAAAACGAAGCUGGAUUAGAAUGUGCUGCCGGGGCCAAUGCAUGCGCAGAAACUUUAUUUAAUGCUGAGGCAAUUUCAACAUCCAACGACGAAACAUGCUUGGCCGUGAAUAUUGCGAUAGAAUGUGUAGCAAAUGCAACGGCGACAUGUGACCUAAUAGCAGCUGCUGACGUAACUUCUAGUAUGGCGGCAUUCAUUGAUGAAUACAAGAAAUCGCCUUACAAUUGUACUCUACAAAAUGCUGAUGAUCCCUUGUUUACGUUGGACCCAUGUUCUAUUGCCU